GGAUUGAGGCUCAGUGGUACAGCGCACGCCUAGUACAAGCGGGAGCCGGGUUCGAUUCUCAGCACCA
rnacentral:tRNA from 1 species